AGACCUGAAACUCAGAAAAUUUACAACUGAUACAUCUACUAUUACUACUGCGGAGAAUCUAAGAUUUACCAAUUUACAUACCAAAUCAAAUACAUCACCCGAUGAUGAAGGAGUCGGGUUACUGAAUAAGAGUCGCGGGAGAACUAACAGUCACGAAUCUAAAAAAAAACAUAAAUGGAGACUAUCAGUCUCGAGAGUGAAUUAAAAUCAAAUAAUCUAGGGACUAUUGCUUCUUCUCAGAAAACAUAGAUUAUUCAAAUCAGUAUAUCAAACCAUACUAUAAUCAUACCCUACUAUUUCCUUCACUUAAAAUAUUAAUCAUUCGAAUCAAAAUAUCAACCAUGCACGUAAAUACAAUCCAUAUUAUAAUCAUACCACAAUAAAUUCAUAAAUGAAUAAAUAAAAAUAUAUUUUUACUUUUACGGGACGAGUGGCUCAGUAGAACCCUAAACCCCAAAAUCUAGUAGCCAUUCGGCUCUCUUAAUCCAAUAAGACUGGCGCCCCGAGAGCAAUGCUCGACCAGGGACCUUACCUCCAGUCUGGUAACUUAAGUAUCCAAAUAAGAAAUCUAGUAGCCAUUCGGCUCUCUUAAUCCAAUAAGACUGGCGCCCCGAGAGCAAUGCUCGACCAGGGACCUUACCUCCGGCAAUUUACACAAAUCAGCCCAGAGAGCCAUGCUCGACCAGGGCAAACCCAUAAAUAUCUUAUUACAUGUCCAUGAUUAUUACCGGUGCGCACGCGGUCCUGAUGUAACCCAUCAGGCGGCAUGUUCUACAAGCCACAUUUCCCAAAUCGCAAUCACCACAUUUAAUAAAUAUCAUUGUCUAAUGAAAUCAUUCAACACAUAUCAAAAUAAAGAUUAAAAAUUUAGGAUAAGGCAACGUGCAAUUCGUGUCGACAGAAUAAUAAUAUCUGUAUUAUUAUAACGUUACUAAUAAUAAUAUUUAUAUUAUUUCAAAUAUUAAUAAUCAAGUGAAGUCAUUUAUUUUGCGAUACUAAUAAUCAUAUUAAGCACAAAUUCUAAAUAGCAUAUUAAAAUCAGACUAGCAAUAGCGCAAAGAUUAAAUGACUUUACCUCACAGGAUUAGGCGACCUCCUAGCUCUGCUCCGGUGCCUCAGUUGGAGCGAGCCGAAUAGACAGAUCAUCUAAUCACAGAAAACAAUUUAUCAAUACGCUGAGACAAUCGAUCAUUAAUCCUAGGUCUAGACUCCUAGGACUGACUGUCUAAGAAUCUCGACCUGGGAGAAUUCUACCGAAAAUCUGGCAGAACCUCCCCUACAACACGAACAUUACCCCCCGUAAAAACGGGUCCAGGACCUGCUAGAAGAACACUUCAAAUAUCCAACAAUUUAAACAACGGGAGUCGGGUCCCAAACUUCACUAUUUCCCGACUCCGCCACACAGCACAAAACACAAGGCAAGCAAACUGACAGACAAUUAUUUAUGACUCACAAAUAUCAUCAAAUACUCAAUAUAACCCAAUAAACACAAAUUUAAAAUCAAAGGAUUUCUAAGAUCAACGGCCAGAGAAAAUUACCGAGACGCUCGAUCGCUCGGUCGACUUGCCUCCGGCCGCCGGAGUCCGAUCGACGAUCCGAACAC
rnacentral:lncRNA from 1 species